UAUUCGGGGAGGACAGGUGGUGCAUGGUUGUCGUCAGCUCGUGUCGUGAGAUGUGGGUUAAGUCCCGCAACGAGCGCAACCCUAUUGCUAGUUACCAUCAUUAAGUUGGGGACUCUAGCGAGACUGCCAGUGAUAAACUGGAGGAAGGUGGGGAUGACGUCAAAUCAUCAUGCCCCUUAUGACCUGGGCUACAAACGUGAUACAAUGGCUGGAACAAAGGGAUGCGAAGCAGUGAUGUGGAGCGAAACCCAUAAAAACAGUCUCAGUUCGGAUUGAAGUCUGCAACUCGACUUCAUGAAGUCGGAAUCGCUAGUAAUCGCGGAUCAGAACGCCGCGGUGAAUACGUUCUCGGGGUUU
rnacentral:rRNA from 1 species